rnacentral:lncRNA from 1 species
GUAGCUCAGCAGUCUCUAGGCUAAUUUUUAGCUGCAUCAAAAAGCUUUUCAGAAUUGAUAAACUCUCUACAACUAGAUGUAAGAUACUUAAAUAAUGUCAUAAAGAAACAGCACCCUCUGAAAAAAACUUACAAAAACGGUUCCCGUUUAAUUGUAUGCCUUAUGUAACCCACAGUCACCCACAAGAUUAGCCACGUUCCGCAUUUGAUGGGCAGUUAAAAUUUAAUUAGCAAAGAGCUUUGCUAACAGCCUUUUGAUCUUUUAACUAUAAGGGAUCACUUUUCGUAGAGUGUUUGCACUCGAUAGAAAUGUACGCAUAAAUCAGCGGACAAGCUGACAGACAGAGUGAGUCGGAGAGUGAGUUUCCUUGUCAGUUCAACUGUUGUCAAGUCAUGCCGAAAGAAUAUGCUAACUGCUAAGCGCAAAUAUCAACCAUGAACCCAUAAAUAAAUCGUCUCAAGAUACAGUGCAAAAUGCAUUCAAGUAAUAUUUGUUUGUGAUUGUAUCUAUAACGAGAAUUAUUCUACGGGUAUUCUUUUUUCAAAUGUUACCGCUAAAUGUUACAGACGGACAGACAGACAGACAUGGCUAUAUCGACUCGUAUAUUGAUGCUGAACAAGAAUAUAUAUACUUUGUGGGGUCGGAAACGUUUCCUUCCGUGCGUUGCAAACAUCCGUUAUUCCCCACAAAUACAAUUUACCCUAUUUGCUCUUCGAGUACCGGGUAUAAAAACGGGGAAAAAUCAUGUCUUGUACUCUAGGUUGGAUACAUCGAACUGAUUGUGAAAGUAUCUGCGAAAUCAAGCGAGAGAGAUAUUCGACAUUUUUCGGUUUCUGCUGUUAAUGAAACGCUGCGAAUAUUGUUCGUAUGCAAAUUAUCAGAGAGCUGUAGUAAGAAAGCCAAGCAUUUUUAAACAUCUUAAUGGCCGAAAGGCAUCUUAAUAGCCAAAUAUCCGACCAGCUGGAGCGGUAAUCACGUAAGACAGACGAUCGUAACCCAAUGGGAAUCCGGAAGAGGCAGCCACCAAUUCGAUGUACACAAAUGCUUGACAUUGAACUUCAAACAUAAAUCCAAUGUCUUGAUCCAUACAACUACUGUAUUUAAAUACUUUUGGAGUAUUUUCGAUGAAGAGUAAAUAGCAGAAGCACUUUAAUUCAUGAUUGUAGUAUGAUUGUAGGUUUGAUUCGUUCACAUUCCAGUGCUAAUCAAUCGACGAAAACUUGCUGAUAGUCGCCUUGUCCGACUUGAUUACGUUUACAUCGAUAUCGAGCCGAGGUCUCGGCGCUAAUAAAUAUGCAAAAAAAUCACCGGGCGACACGCAUCAGAUUCCACCAUAAAUUGCUAAAAAGAUCAUAGACAAUAUUGGCAAGUUCAGGAGAUUAACUUGAAUAAAAAAUUUAGGUCUGAGAGGAAUUGCACACACACGUAUCAUUGUUUGGCCUGUAUUUUGCCGUGAUAGUUGAACUACCCGUGAUGUUAGCUCUUUCUGUGGCUGUUGUUAUUGCCGGAUUUAUUGUAUCUAAGAAAUAGGCUUCAACGUUGCAAGCUCGACCAUCGACGAUUCAUUUCAGCGGCGAACAUCAGCGUGCGCGCAUGCGCAUUCGUUAAAUACAUCAUAUAUCGGGAAAAUCGAUCUAAAGUGUCCUCCCAAGUGAUUGUAGGAAUAUUUUUUUAGCACACAAGUAAAUUUUGUAAGUACAUUUUUUUUAUAAACAGUUUGGCAGUAUCCACUCCCUGUUUUUGCUGUAGACUUUCAUUGACAAACGUGUUCAGAAUUUUACAAGAGCCCAAUGUUUUUGCCAAGUGAAGGAAUGUCUCAAGAAUGUGUUGGUGUGUGUGUUUGUAGAUCCGGAUCUGCUAAGCUGACGUGAACUGCUGGCACGCCCCACCUGUUUUAUGAACUGUGCAUGAUCCGAACAUUAUUUGGAGAGAAAAGUAAAGUUUUUUUAACUACAAAAUGCAGUUUUUCUUGGGUUUAACAAUGUUAAAAAGUCAAAUAGGUUUAUUGCAAUCACAAAUCGCAAAUUUGAAUGCCACUUGCAAUCUAAAACAUACAAGUAAUUAUAUGAUAACGACUGUUAUUUUGUGCAAUCAAAUGGAAUAAAUUUUAACAAUUUCAAAGUGUUCGAUUAAUUUUAAAAAUAGUUUUAAAUGCUUCUCGAAAUCAGCUAAGUCAGUCCUUCAUUACUUGUUUUAACUGGCGAGCGAGAUCUGUUGGGCAGCAUGUCUCAGCAACCAAUUAGUUUAGGUUUAAUGACCCGCAUUGAUUGCCAUAAGCGCGAUAAAAAUAACUAUAAUGAAUGCAAUGAGUUCCUUUGUUAAGGCAAGGCAAGGCGUCGGCAUUAAAAAUGAAACCAGCAUGAUGUAGGUCAGUCCUGUAAAAGCCAGGCCACUAAGUAGAGCUCUAUGCCGAGGCAAUACUCACGUAAAACAAAAUCAAUCGAAGGCAGGGGAUUUUCCACUAUAUGUCCGCUAAACUUUUGGCUUGCUGCCUAAGAGCUAAACUGAAUGAUACCCUAUUGAGGUUAAUUGUAAUGAUUUAUUAACUAUUAAAUUUGUGCCAUUUGUGCCAAAAACUCAUGAAAAAAAACAUAAAAUUUUUAAAUUAAUUUAGAUUUUUGUUUGUUUGUGGAUUUUUUUCCUUCUCUCUCCCUCUUAUGAACAUCCGCUUGCGGUUUAUGGGUCAACGCUUAAAUAUUUUCGCGCGUCUCAGCGAUCGAUUUAUUUUGAUUUUUAUUGAGCUUUAAUUUUGUUUUUUCUCCAGUCUGGUGUUUGUUUUGAUCACAAACCGGUUAGAUUGUUAAGAGAGCUUACUUUACUGCGCUCCUUUUGCAAAGUCAUUCUAUUUAUUUGUCGUCGCUGUCAUGGAAUACCAAAACCAAACCCGUUGAACUUGAGCUCAAAACGCGACUGGGAGAAGUGUAUCGUGCGAACAUCAACCCACCCGAUCAAUGGAGCGUAAAUUGGCCUGAUCAGAACCAAGAAGAAGGCUACUUCAUGCUUCUUUGCCGCGACGGCUCAGCCAAGCAAUUGUGCAUACAUAGGCCCUACCCAUGAAGUAAUUAUAUAAGAAGGUGCAGUCGGCCAAAGUGCUCUACUAGCUACGCUGUUUGCAAGUUCGAUUGAAAGGGCUCUGCGCUGUAAGUGUGAGUCAAACGAAACUAUCGAUUUGUGUUCUGUUUAAUUGGGGGAAUACCAUAAUGCGGAAUGUAAAAUGCAGAAAUGCACUUUCAAACAGCAGUUACAUGCACAUUUUUUUGUUACCUCUGUUGAUUGUUGGGACAGCUACUAUUUCUAUAUAUAUACACACAUAAGAAG